ACUCCUACGGGAGGCAGCAGUGGGGAAUAUUGCACAAUGGACGAAAGUCUGACGGUGCAACGCCGCGUGAGUGAAGAAGGUCUUCGGAUCGUAAAACUCUGUUGUCAGGGAAGAACGAAUGCGGUUCGAACAGGGCCGCAUUGUGACGGUACCUGACCAGAAAGCCCCGGCUAACUACGUGCCAGCAGCCGCGGUAAU
rnacentral:rRNA from 1 species